CAGACGGACGACGUAAAGGUUGUCUGAACUUCCCACUCUUGAGAUGAAAAAAAACCUAAGUGGGGAGGUGGCGCCUAGGGAGGGACAAUGCACCUGUUUAUGCACUACGUUAUUAAGAUGGGGUCGCAUUAAAGGUUGUGAAGUAUACUGCGUAUGAGCGGUAUCUGCCAGGAGAUAGGUACUAGUUGUGCAACGAAACACCCGAGAGCAGGGAAUGGUCAAUCCCAAGAAUACUAGCAGAAAGAAGCCACCUUUACGAAAGCAGGAAUAAUCAACCCUGCAUAAGCACCGAGCUUGUGUGGCAUUCACAAGCCAACCCCGAGAUGGGAGAGAUUAGGAAAAGGAUAUCAUCAAGUCAUCUUCAAUAUACUGCCCCCUCCCCACACUUCUUCGUUUCCUAGAGUCUAUCAUAGUAUUCAGGCGGGUAUGCCAUUAAAUCGCUAUUGAUUUUGAACGCUUCCUCACAAUGAU
rnacentral:sRNA from 1 species